GAAAACCUCCAUAAAUGUCGACAGUGUACGUUUUGGAACCGCCGACGAAGGGGAAAGUGGUACUUAACACGACGUAUGGGCCAAUAGAUAUAGAACUAUGGCCAAAAGAAGCACCAAAAGCUGUAAGGAAUUUUGUUCAAUUAUGUCUCGAAGGUUACUAUGAUAAUACCAUUUUUCAUCGUGUUAUCAAAUCUUUCCUUGCUCAAGGCGGUGACCCAACCGGCACCGGCACUGGUGGUGAAAGUAUAUAUGGCGGUGUGUUUCCUGAUGAAUUUCACUCCCGUUUAAGAUUCAAACAUAGGGGUUUGGUGGCAUGUGCCGGUGCAGGCACACCAAAUUCAAAUGCUAGUCAAUUCUUUAUGACUUUGGAUCGUUGUGACUUUCUCGACAAGAAGCAUACAAUCUUUGGAAAAGUAACUGGGGAUUCAAUAUAUAAUCUUAUUACAUUGGGUGAAGUUGAAACCGGCAAGGAUGAUCGGCCUGUUGAUCCUCCACCUAAGAUACUCUCUGUAGAGGUAUUAUGGAACCCUUUUGAGGAUAUUGUGCCAAGAGCAAAGCCUGCAGAAGCUUUGCCUUCUGGAGUUGCAA
rnacentral:misc_RNA from 1 species